rnacentral:rRNA from 1 species
UACGUAGGAUGCAAGCGUUGUCCGGAAUUAUUGGGCGUAAAGAGCGCGCAGGCGGUAUGACAAGUCAGAUGUGAAAGAGGCCGGCUUAACCGGCAAGGGUCAUUUGAAACUGUCAGACUAGAGUGCAGCAGAGGAUAGUGGAAUUCCCGGUGUAGUGGUGAAAUGCGUAGAUAUCGGGAGGAACAUCAGUGGCGAAGGCGACUUUCUGGACAAAUACUGACACUGAGGCACGAAAGCAUGGGGAGCAAACAGG